CGGAUUUGAACGUUGCGAAGCAACGGCCCGGAGGG
rnacentral:rRNA from 1 species